UAUAAGAGCAACCAUAAGUUUCCGCGCCCAACUUUGAUUGUUCGUCUUAUUUAAAAUUUUUUUAUAAUUAGUAUUUUCGUUGUUAUGAGUUGAUAAAACAUGAAUAGUACUUUACUCGUGACUUAUGUUUUUAAAUUUUUUCAAAAAUUUUUCAAAUAAGACGGACGGUCAAAGUUGGACGCGGAAAACCAUGGCUGCACUUAUA
rfam:Oryza rufipogon genomic scaffold, chr11